UGCCUAAUUGUGACAUUUGGGACUUUAGAAGCCUAGAGAGGCUUGGGGACUUAGAUUAUUUGGGAUUUUGGGUCAAUGUCAUAAAGAGGCAUUGGGCUCGGGCUAUAGUAAUCAUUGGUAUUAAUGUUUAAAUGAAACAGAGAACAAGAAUUGGGCUUGAUCAGUGUGAUGCUUAAGUGUCAUAAAGAGGCACUAAGCAAGUGAGUGUUGGGACAUCACUUAGAGACAUUGGGCUAGAUCCUUGGGAUGCUAGUGACCUUGCCAUGUUAGAGACAUGUGGAUAGAGUAUUUGAGACAGUGACCUUGCUUGUUUGCCAUUUGUGCUCAUUCGCACAUGCUUGUGUGGGUCGCUCCCCACAAGCCGGCACUCCGGAGUUAGCCUACGCGACUUAUGUUCGCUCGUGCGGUAUUGAGAAGCCUACGGGGUCGAGUGGGACAGACACAUUCCAAGAGUAGGGAUGUUGGGCUACCACAGGCACUUAGGCGGCACAAGCUGGACUACCUUGGGUAGGUCCCUAAUUGGAAAUGGAAACCGACACAGUGUUGAGUGUGUGACAAUCACUACUAGAUAGAGAGUAGUAGUUGGAUUACUUGGGUUUGCUUCUAGCAUAGUGUUGGACACAUGAGUAUGCAUAUAUACAUGUAGUAUGCUAGGAGAUGUUGCCAUUACAUUCAUAUAUAUAAUGUCGCCAUGUUAAAGUAUAACCAUCAUAGCUACAUAAGGUAAAUCUUGAAAGUACUCGCGAAUAUGUAGAGACAUACUAGUCAUGACAAGGUAAAAGUGCAUCAUAUAAAUGCCAGAUCCAAUUGCAAAGUUGUAAUUUAGCAAUUUUAUUUAUGCUUUCACAUUUGCAAUUUAUUUAUUGUUAUUACUAUCUUGGACUUACCCCUUUCUCUUUUGGGGCCUAGUGGUGCAUUGAGCUGAGGUCAGUAAUUGCCCACUGGGAACUAUAAAUUAUAGUUCUCACGCCCUCUGUUUUAUGUUUUCUUUCAGAGCCUUCCACGCCGGGAGAGGCUAGGGACCGCGGGAAG
rnacentral:lncRNA from 1 species